AAUGAACGUUGGCGGCGUGGAUUAGGCAUGCAAGUCGAGCGAGAAGCUUUUAACUGAUCUUUCGAGUGAAGUUAAGAGUGGACAGCGGCGAAAGGGAGAGUAACGCGUAGAUCAUGUACCCAGGGGUUCGGGAUAGCGGGGGGAAACCGCCGGUAAUACUGAAUAAUGUCUCCGGACCAAAGAUUUAUCGCCCCUGGAGCGGUCUGCGUCCUAUUAGCUUGUUGGUGGGGUAAUGGCCUACCAAGGCAAUGAUGGGUAGCGGGUGUGAGAGCAUGGCCCGUCUCACUGGGACUGAGACACUGCCCAGACAUCUACGGAUGGCUGCAGUCGAGAAUCUUCGGCAAUGGACGAAAGUCUGACCGAGCGAUGCCGCGUGCGGGAUGAAGGCCCUCGGGUUGUAAACCGCUGUCAGUUUGUUUAGGAAAUCCAUAGGGGUUCUCUCCUAUGGUUGACCGAUCUUCAGAGGAAGGACGGGCUAAGUUCGUGCCAGCCGCC
rnacentral:rRNA from 1 species